AAACCAUGCCAAAGCAGACACUGAAGCCCAACACAGUCUUCCAAUUCAUUGAAUCCUAUUGAAAGCAUCUAACUCAUGCCAGCAUAGAAGAUGAACAUUAUAAAAUGGAUGAGGGAGAGGAGUUAUUCUGGGUUUUUAAAGUUGAAAAAAAAAAUUUUUUUCUAGUUAUAAAUAAAUUUUACUGAAUUGAAAUAGUAAGGUGAGUGGACAGGUGGAGGGAAAGAUGAGACACGAGGCAACAAGUACU